GUGGUCUAUCUUGUGUUAGUUAUACAAAUCUUUGGUCGUGGGAGGGAACCUCCGCUCGCUGGGGCUCGAGCAGGAAGGAUGCGCUGCAGGCUUUAGCAGAGACAAGAAAAGUGUAGUUUACAGUUCAAACGGAAGAUAAAUGACAGCUCAUAUUGCAGCCUGGACAUCUUACAUUUGGAAUUCGUAGAAGACCCUCGAUUUACCACCGCCAGCUGUCCUGCCAGGUACCACAAUGCCAAGUCCUCAUGUUUUACUGGGAGAUUCCCCCUUCAUGAGAACCUCAUGCGCCCUUAUCCAGCUGUCCAUCUCAAUGAACCUGGGCGUACCUACAACUACCGCCACUCUCGUUGUCGGAUAGUCAUAGAGAAUGCAUUCGGCAUGAUGGCUGCAAGGAUGAGUUCUUGGUUGCCCAAUCAAGUGUACCCCUGAAAACGCUAAGGACAUUGUGAAGCCAUGUGGCCCUCUACAACUACCUGUCCUCCACGGAUGAAGCUGAUGAGCCAAACGCAAGAUACAUGCCCCCCGCUUUUGCUGACACGCCCCAACUACCAACCUGGAGAGUGGAGGGGGGUUGUGGCAGGGGACAACAAUCUCCAAGAUCCAGGGAGAUGCUCUCGAGCCAGGGCGUCACAGCUUGCAAGUGAAACAAGCUCAGGGACUUCUUCCUCUACCCCCCGGAUGUGUGCCAUGGCAAGAAGACAUGGUUAGGUGAGGACAACUCAACGUGAGCCAGCAAAUCAUGCAGAAUAGGCCUUUGUUUGGACUGCACACACACACACACACGUGAUGGACGCUCAGUUCUUUGUGUGCACUGUGAACCAAAAUGUAGAGUCUUAAUUUUGUUGAUUAAAUGAAACCUGAUUCUA